GCUAUUUUGGCAGAAAAAUGUAAUGAUUUUAGAAGUCAUGAAUGUAUAAUUUAAUUAUAUAGAUAGUA
rnacentral:tRNA from 1 species